UUUGUGUCGACAACGAAAAUCUGUUCCUUAGUUGUCAACAAUGCUGUUUCCUGAAUGGUCCCCUCUCCUUCUCAGAAAUCCCUCUUCACCGUCCUUUCUUCCUUUAUAUAUUACGUAAUUCUUCCACCCUUAAACCAUCAGAACACAAUUUCAUUUCUUACAGAAAAAGGAUACUUUCACUUCAAGAAUCCCAUCUUUAUGGCAUCAAAAAACCAGUCCAAUUUCCAAGAUUUCUUGCCCCUGAUGGCAGAAAAACUUGGUGGGGAUGGUCUGAUAGGAGAACUUUGUAAUGGGUUUCAAGUCUUGAUGGAUUCUGAUAAAGGGGUCAUCACAUUUGAGAGUCUUAAGAAGAAUUCUGCCUUGCUGGGGCUAAAAGAUAUGUCGGAUGAUGAUCUUCAUAAUAUGUUAAAUGAAGGUGAUUUUGAUGGAGAUGGGGCUCUCAAUCAGAUGGAAUUUUGUGUCCUGAUGUUUAGAUUGAGCCCUGAGUUGAUGGAGCAGUCUUACCUUUUAUUGGAAGAGGCUUUUCAAUCUUAGGGAUUUCAUUUCAAGAUUUUCAUUCUCCAUUGUAAAGAUUUACUAAAUUAUCUAUUUCUAAUUCGUAAUAAUUUUCAAUUUCCAUUGACUUUAGGAUUCGAAAGUUUACAGUAAUUGAAAAUUGGACACAAUGGUUGUAUAUGUGCUCUGUGUUAUUUUGUUAUGAAUUA